AUAAAUAAUACCAUAGAAACAAUCCCUGUAAAUCAGUCCGCCAACCAUCAUCAAAGUAGUAUUUUCAGCGAUGAAAAACAAGUGAAACUCCAUGAAACCCAGUCCCGAAUACGCCUCCAAACAGUUUGUUUCCACCAUUAUUGCAGCCCAGUUGGAGUUCAAAAUUGAGAGGUUUGUUCGAGUUGAGGGUGCCAAUCGAGUCGCUGGAUUAUUGGUUCUUUUUCUUAACUGUAAUCCCACGUUGGGAGAUUCUUAAUUAACUGAAAGUAAAUUUUCCUCAUUAAGGUAUAUUUUCUUAAUCUUCAUUCUUUUUCCAUCUCUUUACAACUAGCUUAAU
rnacentral:lncRNA from 1 species